AUGUUUGAGGAGUGUUUCCUCAAGAGUUAUUUGGAGCAUUUUGUAUUUUUCCUCCAAGACUUCAAACUUGUGGUCCGUUUCUUUCUCGAGGAUUUCUUGUUGCUCUCUCUCUUCAAUGAACUCCUUAUUUCUGUGCACUUUUUUAUCGAGCUUGAUUUGGAGCAGUCUGUGUUUUUCCUCCAUGUCAUCAAGCUUGGAGUCCAUUUCCUUCUGCUUCAUUUCCAUUUGCUUCUUGUCUUUAAGCAACUGUUGAUUUUUGUGCAGAGUUUUAUCAUGUUUCACCUGCAGAGCUUUGUAUUUUUCCUCCAUGGCUUGGAGUUUGCUCUGCAUGUCUCUCUGCUCUUCGGGCUGUUGUUUCUUGUCUUGGAGAAUCUCUUUAUUUCUCUCCAGAGCUUCAUCAAGCAUAACUUGCAAGCCUUCGUUGUGUUUCUCGAUGUUCCUCAGCUUGCACUCCAUUUCUUGCUGAUGUAUUUUCCGUUGGUCUUUCUCGUGAAGGAACUCUUUAUUCCUUUCCAGAGCUUCAUCAAGCAUUACUUGCAAGCCUCUAUUUUGUGUCUCGAUGUGCCUCAGCUUGCACUCCAUUUCUUGCUGAUGUAUUUUCCAUUGGUCUUUCUCGUAAAGGAACUUUUUAUUCCUUUCGAGAGCUUCAUAAAGCAUUACUUGCAAGCCUCUAUUUUGUUUCUCGAUGUUCCUCAGCCUGCAAUCCAUUUCUUCCUUUUGUAUUUUUUGUUGGUCAUUCUCGUGAAGCAUCUCUGUAUUUUUGAGCAGUGUUUCCUCAAGAGUUACUUGCAGCAUUUUCAGUUUUUCUUCCAAGACUUCAAGCUUGGAGUCCGUUUCUUUCUCGAAGAUUUCUUGUUGCUCUUUCUCUUCAAUGAACUCUUUAUUUCUGUGCACUGUUUUCUCAAGCUUGAUUUGGAGCAGUCUGUGUUUUUCCUCCAUCUCGUCAUGCUUGGAGUCCAUUUCCUUCUGUUUCAUUUCCAUUUGCUUCUUGUUUUGAAGCAACUGUUGAUUUUUGUGCAGAGUUUUGUCAUGUUUCACCUGCAGCGCUUUGUGUUUUUCCUCCAUGGCUUGGAGUUUGCGCUGCAUGUCUCUCUGCUCGGCCUGUUGUUUCUCUUCUUGGUGGAUUUCUCUAAGUUUCUCCAGAGCUUCAUCAAGGUUUUCUUGGAGCUCCUGAUUCUUCCUGACCAUGGUUUCCUGUUUUAUGCUCUCUUUUUUCUCCUUUUGGAGCAGAUCUUUAAUUUUUUCCAGAGCGUCAUCCAGCUUUUCUUGGAGCACCUGAUUCUUCUUAUCUUGGAGAGCCCAUUGUUUCUCCUCAAUACCUUCUUUUUCCUGAAGCUGGUAGGAUAA
rnacentral:lncRNA from 1 species